UAGAAAUACACCACUGGUACGGGUACGGAUCCGGCGUCUCUCGAAGGAUGCACAGGCUCUCCGUACUCUACUCUUUCUCAAAACGUUCCCGACGUACAGAACGGUAACAUGUCCUUUUCCAAACCAAAUUUUGUAAAGGACUGAAACUCCUAAAGGGA
rnacentral:ribozyme from 1 species